rnacentral:rRNA from 1 species
GAUGAACGCUGGCGGCGUGCCUAAUACAUGCAAGACGAGCGAACAGACGAGGAGCUUGCUCCUCUGACGUUAGCGGCGGACGGGUGAGUAACACGUGGAUAACCUACCUAUAAGACUGGGAUAACUUCGGGAAACCGGAGCUAAUACCGGAUAAUAUAUUGAACCGCAUGGUUCAAUAGUGAAAGACGGUUUUGCUGUCACUUAUAGAUGGAUCCGUGCCGCAUUAGCUAGUUGGUAAGGUAACGGCUUACCAAGGCAACGAUGCGUAGCCGACCUGAGAGGGUGAUCGGCCACACUGGAACUGAGACACGGUCCAGACUCCUACGGGAGGCAGCAGUAGGGAAUCUUCCGCAAUGGGCGAAAGCCUGACGGAGCAACGCCGCGUGAGUGAUGAAGGUCUUCGGAUCGUAAAACUCUGUUAUUAGGGAAGAACAAAUGUGUAAGUAACUAUGCACGUCUUGACGGUACCUAAUCAGAAAGCCACGGCUAACUACGUG